rnacentral:rRNA from 1 species
AGGGGCAGCGGGGAGUAGCAAUACUCCGCCGGCGACCGGCGCACGGGUGCGUAACGCGUAUGCAACCUACCUUUAACAGGGGCAUAACACUGAGAAAUUGGUACUAAUUCCCCAUAACAUUCGAGAAGGCAUCUUCUUGGGUUAAAAACUCCGGUGGUUAAAGAUGGGCAUGCGUUGUAUUAGCUAGUUGGUGAGGUAACGGCUCACCAAGGCAACGAUACAUAGGGGGACUGGGAGGUUAACCCCCCACAUUGGUACUGAGACACGGACCAAACUCCUACGGGAGGCAGCAGUGAGGAAUAUUGGUCAAUGGACGCAAGUCUGAACCAGCCAUGCCGCGUGCAGGAAGACGGCUCUAUGAGUUGUAAACUGCUUUUGUACUAGGGUAAACGCUUCUACGUGUAGGAGCCUGAAAGUAUAGUACGAAUAAGGAUCGGCUAACUCCGUGCCAGCAGCCGCGGUAAUACGGAGGAUCCAAGCGUUAUCCGGAUUUAUUGGGUUUAAAGGGUGCGUAGGCGGUUUGAUAAGUUAGAGGUGAAAUACCGGGGCUCAACUCCGGAACUGCCUCUAAUACUGUUGAACUAGAGAGUAGUUGCGGUAGGCGGAAUGUAUGGUGUAGCGGUGAAAUGCUUAGAGAUCAUACAGAACACCGAUUGCGAAGGCAGCUUACCAAACUAUAUCUGACG